UGAAAUCAAAUUUGUAUGCCGUUGGAACGUUUACCUACGUUUACCGCUAGGGGCGCUGUUACAACUGCAAACAAAUUUGAGCUA
rfam:Bombyx mori DNA, contig: Bm_scaf73_contig31467, strain: p50T/Dazao, build 2, whole genome shotgun sequence.